rnacentral:lncRNA from 1 species
CUCACAUAGGGCCCAGUGCCUUGUACUAAAGAGCUGAGCAUCACAUUGGCCUCUUGGAUUAAAACAGCAGCUGGCAUCUUUGACAACUGUUUGUAGUUAGUAGACUUUGCACACUUUUUCUUGCUAAUCCAAGCUUGAAAAUACUCUAACCAAAUUUCCCAAGGAUCAGAGUAUUCUGAUGUCCCAUAGAUGUUCCUGUGUUGUUUUUUAAAGUUGAUGGAGAAGUUGUCUUCCUGGCCUGCCAAGCAGUCAAGAUAGGUUGACAAAGUUGUCUCAAGGUUCUUUUGAUGGCAAGUGGCCAAUACCCACAGGAAUCAGCAUUGAAAAUGAGAAUUUGUGGUAUAGCAACAGAAAUGUGUGAAGGAGCUUGAGAGAGUGAGGUUGGGCCUAAGGAAAGAGCUCUUUGUCUCUCACCUCUGCUGCUCUGUCUUCUGGCUUCCUUCUCCUUCUCUGGUUUUCUCCAAGCCCCUUUGCACCAUUGUGGACUGUUGUUUGCCUCUCUUCUCUUAGGUUCACAUGCCCUUACUUAAAAUAUCCCACAGAGAAUGACAAAUGUCUCCAGCCUCCAGUUCCAAAUCUUCCAGGAAGAGUAUCUAAGGAUCCCAGCUCUGUCAGAUAUCCACUCUUCAGAACACCAUUGAUUAGGACAAUAUGGCAUAUGGGCCCCUUCUGGUCAAGUUACUCCUUCAAACUUAAGAAAAUGAAUAAAAAAGGUUGGCAAAUGGAAGAAAGCCAAUUAUGCAACAAUUUUAGAUUUUUGAAGUAAGACCAUUGCAUUUCCCAAUAUUGAUUACUCUUCACUUGAUUAUAGUGACUCUCUUCAGCUGUUUAUUACAGUAUGGAUCAUAACUCAUAGACUGCACUUGUUCCAAACUAAAAAUAAGUGCAAGGAAGCAGAAUAAGAAAGGAGGUGAAUGAAAAGUAGCAUUUUUGACAUCAAUAAAUAACCAUCAAGUAAAUAAUCA